rfam:Aedes aegypti strain Liverpool supercont1.18 genomic scaffold, whole genome shotgun sequence.
UGCCCAGCAACUCCUAUCCCUACCUACUCGUGGUACUGGGCGGGGUACGAGUAACCUUGGGGAAGAUUGGGUAACCAACCCCGGUGGGAACUCUGGUCGCAUGCUGACAGGGAAGG